AAUUUUACUUCUAUUUUACCAUCCCUAUUAUGAAUGAUAAUGAUAUAUAAUACUAAAAUAUACAAUCCAUAGUUUCCCAGACUCCGAACAAUGGAACCGUGAAAAUCCGAAUGAAUUUUUAAAAAAGGGUUAAAUAAUUAAAGGCAUUUUUUUGGGAUGGCGUUACCCUAUUAGAGAUGAAGUAAAUCACUUAAUUAAGUUAUCAUCAUUUUAAAAUUCUUUUUUUAAAAACCAUUCAUCUAGUGUAUCUAGAAGACUUAAUGAACCCAAAAAAAA
rnacentral:lncRNA from 1 species